rnacentral:tRNA from 1 species
AUCUUCAUAGUUUAAAAAAAACAUUAUAUUUUCAUUAUAAAAUUAAUUUUAAAAUUUUUAGAUA